ensembl:lncRNA
GAGUGAUUUCUUCAGUGCUGCCAUUCCAGUGAAGGUUGCAGUAGAAUCUCCUUCCAUGUUAGUCACCGUGCUGGAGUAAGUUCUCUGGUUGUGUCUCCUGUCAUCAAGUGGCACCCCAUCCAGAUGUCUGCAAGGAGGAGAUCUCCUUUGACCUGGACAGUUUGGCUUCAUCUUGGAUACCUUUUGACUUCAAAGAUUUAAUCGUGAUCACCAGUCAGAUCUCUAUGUCAUGGGCUUCAAAUCACUAGCAGGGAGACUGCUACAAUUUCAGCUGCAACAUUUGAUGUAUAAAUCCCUUAUCCCAUCUGUUCGCUUAAUCCAGGAUUCUGAAACACGUUCAGGGAACAGAAAAGAUGCUGCAUCAGCGAAAGCACACAGACAAAUGAGGCUGGCCAUGGAGUCACACCAGCCUCAGCAGGACCUGUACAGAUCAGCUGUGAUCACCAGGGUUGCACAACCUUCCACAAGUGAGAAGUGGACUCUGGACAGCGAGAUAUGCAUUACAAGAUAAAGCUGUCCUGCUAUGCCACAGCAGUUGAAGAGUCUGAGCAUGCCUCAGUGGCCCUGCGCUCCCAGCACACAAAGCCAUCUGCAGCCACCAGUCAUUUGGAGCAGCCUCUCACAUGCUGGCUUUCCUACACGGAGUUUCUCACAGCAGGAUCAGCCGCCCUUCCAGCACAUCACAGGUGUUCUCCACAUGGCGUGAGCAGCAUUUCUCUCCUCCGGUUCUGGGAGAGGAAAUUCUGCAAACCAAAUGUGAACUCAGGAAAGGGAGGUCCUAGCAAACUUGCUGUGCCAAAGGCAAACACAAAAGGCUCACCUCUGCAGUUGUGCCCGACUGAGCAGUGCCAGCAAAUAGGGGAGUGCGGUGCCAGACUCAUACAGAGUGGUACGGGGUCAAGGCAAGGCUUUUUGCUGGGAACAGGGUGUGUGCGGGCUGAAAAGCACUGAGGAGGAACUGAGGCCAUGGCUGAUCCUGGGGGGUGCGCAGAUCAGCUCUGCAGGCGAGGUUAGUGCCUUUGCUCCUCUGUCAUCACCAGUCCCUGAGAGCAAUCACCACCCACCAACAGUUCCUCAAGAUAAGACUGAGCCAGCUGGGAGAAGAAAUCCUUUGAUAUUUCCCUGCCUCGCUGACUGCGUUUUUCACAGCUCACAUCUCAGAGAGGACCAGCAGAGAUGACUGGGCACGUAAGAAUAACACUGGGCUGGUAUGCAAGGAAGGUGCUAAUCUUCUGCCAUGUGUGUAGGGCCUGGGCAGAAUGAGGCAGAGCGCAGUGCUGGAGUCUCCCUGAUCCUCCCAUGGAUAUCAGCAGCUGCCACACCUGGAGUCUGCAGCAAAGCUCCUUCCUCCAGAGGCCAAGAGCUGAGCCUACUGUUUCCAGCAAGGAAUCUUACAAUCUAUUUAUUCUCAAGAUUAAAUUUCCCUGUCCAGAACAUGUAUCAAAAAAGUCCUCCCAAAGACAGAACGUGCUCAGUGAUUUGUUUCCUGAUAUUCAUUGCUCCAUAGUCGCCACCCCUGGAGAUGUUCAAGAGCUGUGUAGAGAGAAGCCUGCGCUUGCUGGGGGACUUGCUGGUGGGGCAGUGCUGUGUGGAAGGGCUGUGCUCACACCAUGAGAUGAGGCCAUCUAACAGACGAAGCAUGCAGGAUUUGCACUGACCGACGCCUGCACGGCUUCAGAGCUGUUUAUGGAUGUAAGGCUUGUCGUGGCUCUUCUCCCAGACACCUCGCUGCUGUCACAGCUCAGCGUUUGCCAUAUGUUUCAGCCCAGUGCUCGAAGCCUAAUAAAAAUGUCUAGCUGUAAAUCACCAGAGGUGUAGGCUGUGACCCUCUUUACUCCUACCUCUUCCACCACCUCUCAGCCACCCUUUUCCAGAUACUGGAAGCAGUAUAGCAAGAGUGCUUCUCCCAUCGGCCUCCUGCCAGAGCAGUGAUGCCAGAACACAGCUGUUUGCAAGUGCAUGGGGAAAGCUGUGCUGGGCUGAAAUGCAAAAUGAGGCCAAUGUGUCCCCACGGUCGCUUCUUCAGGAUACUUCUUUGUCCCACAUGGAGACAGAAGCUCCUGCUUAAGUAACCCUGGGGACUUGGAUCAGACAUCAUUAAAAGCAGUGGGGCAGCCAGCCCAUGGGGAGGAGUGGCAAAUGCGGUGCGAAUGAUCAUGUCCUGCAUGGGACAGACCAGUGCCAAUUUUGAGAGCUAUUGAAGGAAGAAACUGCUCCAAGCAGAUUACCAAGGUGACAACGAGUGCAGCUGUGGAUUUACUCAGCUAAUCAGGAAACGCUUCCUUGCUGCAGAGUGGGGAAACUGAACUGUGCUGCUGAACAGAGAGACUGAGUAGCAGUUUCCACUUCAGGCCCCUCUCCUGCAUGUCCUGAAUGCCGUAAGGGCUGAUCUCCUAUUUUACAGCACUUGACGUUGAAAUGCAUACACCUCGAUGCAAUAAGCCCUGAAGCCCACCCCAGCAGCAGUCUCUGCUGCCAGGAGGCAAAACUGCUGAAGAUGGCUCUCCUCACACGGAGCCGGGAUCAUCCACCCCAUUCAUACACUGUUCUCAACAACGUGCAAAGAGGUAAAUGCAGGAGAAUAAGCUAAUGUCCCUGUAGGAGAAACCAGGUGUAUUUGACCUCUUCAGUCAACGUGAAGGAUGUGAAGAUUCGUACACACUCCCUCCCCAUCAUGCUGUAGAGAUUUCACCAUCCUCUUGCCCAACCUGCAGCUCCUGCUUCAUCC